rnacentral:ncRNA from 1 species
UUCUUCAGGGCGUGGUGAAAUUCCACACUGGCGGUAAAGUCCGCGAACCAUUAUGGCCGACUCGGUGAAACUCCGGGACCAACAGUAAAGUCUGGAUGAAAGAAGAA